rnacentral:rRNA from 1 species
UUAUUGUAAGAGCUUAGACGUGGCUCAGGAGUACGCUAUCUAGUGGGUUACACAUGCAAGUCAUAUGAAAAUUGUUUCAUGGCGACCGGGUGAGUAAUAAAUAGGAAUCUACCUUUAGGAACCCCUGGGGCGGCAUAGGUACGCCUUCCAGGGGGAAGGGUUAAAUGCCCAUAAUUUUAAAGAAAGGAAAUUUUCCGCCUGAAGAUGAGCCUAUUUUGUAAUAGAUAGUUGGUAGUGGUAAUGGCCUACCAAGUCUAUGAUGCUUAGUUGGUUUGAGAGAACGACCAAUCACAGUGGCACUGAAAUAAGGGUCACCCGAGAAAUGCUCGGCAGCAGUGAGGAAUAUUGGACAAUGAGGGAAACCUUGAUCCAGCCAACUAUGAAGGGUCUAAACUAAUUCUGUAAAAACCCUAUCGGAGAAGAGCAUAAUGAGUUAAUUCUCCUACCAGUCCCGACAAACCUCGUGCCAGCAGUCGCGGUAAUACGAGGGGGGCUAGCGUUAUCCAUCUUUAAUGGGCCUAGAGUGUCUGUAGGCUGUCUACUAAGGUAAAUCUCAACUUGUUUUCGUAGAUAAGGUUACCUACUUUAACAAGAAAACUUCUUAUUAAUUUAAAUUAAACUAAAUAAUUCCUUAAUAAGUUUUACAACUAGUAAACUAGAGUGGAAUUGGGGAAUCAGGGAACUCCAGGAGUAGGGAUAGAAUCCAUUGAUCCCUGGAAGACCGCUAAGGCGAAGGCCCUAUUCUAAGUAACCACUGACGCUGAGAGACUAAAGUGUGGGGAGCGAAAAGGAUUAGAUACCCUUGUAGUCCACACCUUAAACGAUGGAGGCUAUAGAUUAGAAUCCUUUUUUCUACUAUUAAUAGAAUUCAAGAUUUUAUUCUAAAAGCGAAGGCAUUAAGCUUCCCGCCUGGGGAGUAUAAAGGCAACUUUGAAACCCAAACGUCUAGACGGCCUUAAAGACCAGCAGUGAAGCAUGUUGCUUUAAUUCGAUAAUCCGCGAAAAACCUUACCACUUCUUGUAUGUUACACAGGUGUUGCAUGGCUGUCCUGAGUUCGUGCCGUAAGGUGUCAGGUUAAUUCCGCUAACGAACGAAACCCCUCCUAUUAGUUAAUUUUUAUUAGUAGUAGAAAUUUAAUAGGGUAUGAUACUAAAAGUGUCAUUAAUUGGGGACGGCGACAAGCCCUCAUGGCCCUUAUGGAGUGGGCUAUAUAACGUGCCACAAAUUCUUUAACAAUGGGAGACAAUGAUGUAAAUUGGAGGUAAUCCCUAACGAAAGAAAAGGUUCGGAUUGUAGACUGAAACUCGUCUUCAUGAAGAAGGAAUUGCUAAGUAAUCUGCGCAUCAGCAUGGCGCGGUGAAAACUACUUUCAAGGCGCACUUAUUGUCCGUCAGGCGGAGAAAGUUGAAAUCUUCUGAAACUCUCUAAGCUUUUCAGCAGUUUAGGUAAUUGUCUUUGCUGUUGUUAAUAGCCUCUGGAGAGUCAAGAGGUUUUGGCAAUUUCUGUUAAGUCGUAGCAAAGUAGGGGUAGCGGAAGCUGCCCCUGAACGAAUAAAUC